rnacentral:rRNA from 1 species
UACGUAGGGUGCGAGCGUUGUCCGGAAUUAUUGGGCGUAAAGAGCUCGUAGGCGGCUCGUCGCGUCGACCGUGAAAACCCGCGGCUUAACUGCGGGCUUGCGGUUGAUACGGGCGGGCUAGAGUUCGGUAGGGGAGACUGGAAUUCCUGGUGUAGCGGUGAAAUGCGCAGAUAUCAGGAGGAACACCGGUGGCGAAGGCGGUUCUCUGGGCAUUACCUGACGCUGAGGAGCGAAAGUGUGGGGAGCGAACAGG